CAGGUACCAAUUCAGACUUCAUUUUUUACUUUGACAAUAUCAAUUGACUGCAGAACGACUUGCCCAUAAAUUGAGGGUCUCCAUUUUCACCCCAAGAAGGCUUGUGCAGAGUCUGAUUAAAUAUCAAUUUCAGUAGUAUGCACGUAUCUUAAUGUCAUAGUCAAUAAAUAUCAUUGUUUUACUUCUCCUUGGCUGCAGCAUGUGCAAGUUGCUGCAAGGAUCAAUUUAUUGGAUGGAGUGUUGGUUGAUGAACAGACUUUUGUACAAUCGUUUAAGCAUGUCUUACUCAAUUCCUUGCUUCAAAACAUAAAAUGUCAAACAAUUUCCUAUUUGUGGUGUUAGAAAUAAUUAAGUCCAGACAAUACAAUCCAGAAAGCAUAUUAUGUGCUGGUGUUGUAUACAUCAAAGAAUGUCUACUGUAAUCAUAUUUUGUGGGACAAAAUGG
rnacentral:sRNA from 1 species